ACAAACAAGAAACCAACGGAACGGAGUAUCUCUUCUUUUCUUCUUCUUCAGGUGAAAGUACCAGCAAGUACUCUUCCCUUCCUGUAACAGAGAUGGUUGCUUCACAUGCUUAUUGUAUUUGGAAGCAUGGAAGGCCUGAAAUCCCUCAGAGAUUAGGUGUCUUCUUUUUCCCCAAAAUUCAGGGAUUUUUCCCCAGGAAAGUGCCCAGCCGUUUGAUUUCAUUCAUUUGUACUGGAAUUGGUUUUGUAACCAUCCAAUUUUCCCAUGAACACCAUAAUUCUAAAUUAUAUUUUUCAGAGAUUUGAUGUGAUAGAAAUUAAGUGAGUAAUAAUUUAGGUUUUUAGGUUUUGAAAAGGAAAAGAAAGAGAAGUGCCCAUAUAAAGGGUGAUAUUUCUUUCUCCGAAGACCUUGCGUUUGAAAGGGAGCUUCUUCUGCUUCUAGCUUUGCUGGCUAUUCUAUUUGGUGUGCAUCUUUUGCUCCAACAAGUUGGCAUAUUCAGUUCUUAGGUUUGUCUAAGAAACUAAAUUUUGUGCUGCUUUUUUUGUCUAAAUGAUUUGGAUUUUAUCUGUUGUUGAUUAUAUUACAGGUUGUGUGUCUCAUGUUAAAAAUUCUUGAGCUUCAGGCAUAUUAAUUGCUAUCUGUUUCAUUUUUACAUGAUUGUGAGAUACAUGAUGUAGUUAAAGAUUUUCUUUCUGUUAUGAAGAGUGAAAGCCUUCACAUGAUGAGAAUGAAUGUCUGUUUCAUAUGAAAUGCCUUGGAUAGUAGUCUUCUUUUUUUGUCAUGGACUCUGUGAUCAAAGAAAAUUCUGAUGAUGUUCCUACUGUGAUUUCUCAAUUUGAUGUGGGUCAAAUGAUGAGGAAAAAAGAUUGUAGAAAAAAUGCAGUUCUUAGAUGGAGAAAGAAACGAUUAGAUAGAGCAGAUAAGCCAACCUCUUCAAACAUUGCUGCAAAAAGAAGCUUAACUUUUGAAGCUCCAAUUCCCAGAACUAAUGUACCUUCUGUUGAGAAGACAACCAUUGAAGCUGUUUCCUCGAUUGCUGCAAAAAAGAGUCCUGAAGACAACAAGCCUGCAUCUUCAAAAUCUGCUCAUAUGAGCACUCUCAAGAAGCCACGUGAAUCUGCAAAAUAAAGCAGCCACACAGCUUCAUGUCCUCUUUUGUUCAUCAUGUAUGCUACUGAACUUUUAGCAUGCUAUUUUUUGCCAUCAUAUUAGAAUCCAUUAACAUUAUCUGUAUGACUGGAAGUUAAUGGAUCAUAAUAUAUGAUAUUAUGUAACUAAAAUGAACUUUGAAAAAGACUAUUAGCAUGCCAAUAUACCUCUACUUAUGACUUAAUUGUACUGGAAGGUGUGUAAUUGCUACUGAAAUUGUUGACAACUAUCUAUGAAUGAUAAUUAUGGUAUUAUGUACCUAUUAUGCAACUAGAAUUGUUAUAUAUACUUUUCCAAUGAUCAGUAUUUUUUGAAAGGCCAAGGCACAACCUGGUUCCUUUAGUUACUAUAAGAUAAGCAAAAGGCCAAUGUUACUGUAGCAACUCCUGUUGCUGACACGUGGCACAUUGGAUAAAUUUUGAGCCUUUUCGUUUGCUUUGUCUAUGGACUUUACAUUGUCUACUUUUUCCAAACUACCACGUUGGUGCUAGAAGGACAGGUUCUUAAGACUUCUUUUAGCAUACUGAGCCAUGCGGUUGACUCCGAGGAGGGAGUCCACUAGGGAGAAACUUUUUUCCGUUUAUGGCCUUAGAAUGUUGACUAUUUCUGCGAACAGUAUACCACUGUUGAGGCCAUUUGUGUCUUUUUAUGUAAAAUUACUACUUUGUCUAGUGAGAAAAAAUGGCUCUCAAAACAGUAGCUAACUAUUUAAGGCUGUUUGUGACUUUUUGCCUUCCAUUCUUCUCCUAUCUUUGGCUGCGUUUUCCAUUCCUUUCCUUUGUACGUCAGACACAAUCAAGAAUAGCAGUUGAACUGCUUCUAUGCAUGGUCAGAAAAAGCAAAGAAGCAGAGGAGAAGAAAAGAGAACUCUAACAAGAAAAAGUUCUAGAGAAAGGGUUACAGGAAAACAAACACAGCUAUUCAAGCAAGUCAAGAUUUUGUGAAAUCUCAGAGACCAAUGGCCAUCAAGUGUUUGAUAAAAUGUCUGUGUGAAACUUGGGAUAGCAGAGAAAACACGGAGAGAAUGAUCGCACAGGAGUGCUAAUGGGUUUGUCAAGAGUAUUGGAGCUGGUGGAGUUGAGAGCAGAAGUCAGCAAACUUUUGUGCGUUCUGGGGUUGGAAAAGAAAUUAUCCCUCAGUCAUCUAAGCCAGCUCAAGAGAAGAAGCCCCAGGUUUCUACUACUAAUGGUCAUGCUACAGCCCCUGCUGCUAAAAACUUUUGGCUUAAGACCCAAAAAUCUAUCCAUAUUGAGAUAGAAUGCACCAUUAGAUGCCCAUCAUGCAAGGAAGAAACUGGCGUUAAAGCGAGGUAAUGGCAAAAUAUGAUAGGUGUCGCUUGGGAUUUGUGGUAAAUGAUGUAACAGGAUCUUUACAUGCUGCAAUUUUCAGUCCAUACGCUUUGAAAUUGUUAUCAUAUACCGCUCUUCAUCUAGCCAGCUGAUGACCAAGUAAGUUCAACUCCAUGAGCUAUAACUUGAUGAGUUAUUGCAUAAUGAUGAGUGCAACUUGAUAAAUGCGCUUAAAUGCUCUUGGAAGAACAAUUGUAGGAAAGGAUUGAAAUAUUAUACUAAAAAGUUGUAUUUUUCCUUAAAGAAUUAAUGAGGCUUUGUUCAAAUUAUUUGAUCCAUUUAUAGCUUUAAGUUUUGCUUAUUGGAUUAAUUAUUUUGUAUGACAUUUUAUCAUAAGUUUACCCUUAUAAAUUCACGUAUAGCUUUUGAUCUUGACUCUUGAGAUAUCCUAAAGCCUUAUAAGAGCAUUCUUUUGGUCAGUUGAAAAUAAUUGAAAAAGAUAAGCUGUCUCAGUUAUGGCGUAGGCAUAAGUGACUUAUAAAUUUCUACUAUUUGAUUUUUGAAUGAGGCUGCCAUAAAAAAAAAUGACUCUGUAUGCUUUAAUAAGUUAUUUGUAUAUAACGUAUCUGCUUAUCUGUUAAAAUUUUAGAAUGCUGCCUUAGUUUUGGAUUGUAAAAAACUAUAUUGCUUUGCAGUUGGAAAUUACAUAGUCAACAUGUAAUUGUUGAUUAAAUAUUUCAAACAAAUAUUUCGAACAAAAUUCACUAAUGAAAUUAAGGAUGCUACACAUUUUGCUAAACUAGCCUCUCAUGUUGAGGCGGUUACAAUUAUUUUUUCAUCCAUGCUUUUAAUUUGGAAAAUCCAAGGACAAAAGGACAGCGAAGAACAACACUAUCAAGGCAUAUACUACUGAGGUUGGAGGUCAAAUUUUGAUAGCAAUCCCAAAAGAAGAUCACAAAAGAUGUUCCCAAAUUUCAUAUCAAUGCUCAAGAUCCUUUAUGAUGGCGUUCUCAUAAAGAACUUGAUGGAGUAAAUGCAAGUUAGCAAUCUAAUUAGUGGGCAGUUAGUAUUUCAAUUUAUAGUUGUCUAGGAUAUAGCACUACUAAAAAGUUUAUGACAGCUUGUUGAAUUACUUGGCAGUGGGAAGGUAGAAAAGAUGUUAAUAUUGAACCAGAGCUCAGUUUCCAAACUCUGUUAUUUUACUCAAAUGAUGAAUUUGUAUGCUUAAUUCUUCUUUCUCA